rnacentral:tRNA from 1 species
GUGACCGUGGUGUAACGGCAGCACGCCGCGCUGUGAACGCGGAAGACCCGGUUCGAUUCCGAAGGUCACC